AUGGCAACCCUUCGAAUCGACAAAAUUCAUAAAAUUCUCUGUGAAUGUAUUGAACAAUAUAAUAGGAAAGUAGGGAUUGAGAAUAUAGGUCGCGUAGUUCAAGUGGGGGAUGGGAUUGCUCGUAUUAUAGGUCUUGGUGAAAUAAUGUCAGGUGAAUUAGUCGAAUUUGCAGAAGGUACUAGGGGUAUUGCUCUGAAUUUGGAAUCCAAAAAUGUUGGGAUUGUAUUAAUGGGCGAUGGGUUGAUGAUACAAGAGGGAAGUUUUGUAAAAGCAACAGGAAGAAUUGCUCAGAUACCCGUGAGUGAGGCUUACUUGGGUCGUCUUGUAAAUGCUCUGGCUAAACCUAUGGAUGGGAAAGGCGAAAUUAUAGCUUCUGAAUCUCGCUUAAUUGAAUCUCCUGCUCCAAGUAUAAUUUCCAGGCGUUCCGUAUACGAACCUCUUCAAACAGGGCUUAUUGCUAUCGAUUCGAUGAUCCCUAUAGGGCGCGGUCAGCGAGAGUUAAUUAUUGGGGACAGACAGACUGGCAAAACAGCAGUAGCCACACAUACAAUUCUCAAUCAAAAAAGGGCAAGGUGUAAUAUGUGUUUAUGUAGCUAUCGGUCAAAGAGCAUCCUCCGUAGCUCAAGUAGUAACUACUUUCCAUGA
rnacentral:rRNA from 1 species